GGAAUUAUUGGGCGUAAGCGCGCGCAGGUGGUUUCUUAAGUCUGAUGUGAAAGCCCACGGCUCAACCGUGGAGGGUCAUUGGAAACUGGGAGACUUGAGUGCAGAAGAGGAAAGUGGAAUUCCAUGUGUAGCGGUGAAAUGCGUAGAGAUAUGGAGGAACACCAGUGGCGAAGGCGACUUUCUGGUCUGUAACUGACACUGAGGCGCGAAAGCGUGGGGAGCAAACAGGAUUAGAUACCCUGGUAGUCCACGCCGUAAACGAUGAGUGCUAAGUGUUAGAGGGUUUCCGCCCUUUAGUGCUGAAGUUAACGCAUUAAGCACUCCGCCUGGGGAGUACGGCCGCAAGGCUGAAACUCAAAGGAAUUGACGGGGGCCCGCACAAGCGGUGGAGCAUGUGGUUUAAUUCAAAGCAACGCGAAGAACCUUACCAGGUCUUGA
rnacentral:rRNA from 1 species